rnacentral:lncRNA from 1 species
UUCUAACGUGUACAAACUUGCGCUUAAGCCUCCGCCGCGAGUAAGCAAGCCAUGUUUUACCGUUAGAAUUCGAUCUAAGUACUUGUUCAUUAAAAAAACACCAACCAACAAACUAUAGCCUUCACCCGAACUACAAAUGCUCUAAUUUCCUUAUUGAACUAUAAGGAUACGUAGGCACGAGAUUGCGAGAUCUUCGCGAGUACACUAAUUAAAA